rnacentral:rRNA from 1 species
CCUACGGGCGGCAGCAGUGAGGAAUAUUGGUCAAUGGGCGCGAGCCUGAACCAGCCAAGUAGCGUGAAGGAGGAAGGCCCAAUGGGGUGUAAACUUCUGUUAUAUGGGAAUAAAGUGCAGUACGUAUACUGCUUUGCAUGUACCUUAUGAAUAAGGAUCGGCUAACUCCGUGCCAGCAGCCGCGGUAAUACGGCGGAUCCGAGCGUUAUCCGGAUUUAUUGGGUUUAAAGGGAGCGUAGGCGGGUUGUUAAGUCAGUUGUGAAAGUUUGCGGCUCAACCGUACAAUUGCCGUUUAUACGGGCAUCCUUGAGUACAGUAGCGGUAGGCCGAAUUCGUGGUGUAGCCGUUACAUUCUUAGAU